CGUAGGGUGCAAGCGUUAAUCGGAAUUACUGGGCGUAAAGCGUGCGCAGGCGGUUUUGUAAGUCUGAUGUGAAAAUCCCCCGGGCUCAACCUGGGAACUGCAUUGGAGACUGCAAGGCUAGAGUGUGUCAGAGGGGGGUAGGAAUUCCACGUGUAGCAGUGAAAUGCGUAGAGAUGUGGAGGAAUACCGAUGGCGAAGGCAGCCCCCUGGGAUAACACUGACGCUCAUGCACGAAAGCGUGGGGAGCAAACAGGAUU
rnacentral:rRNA from 1 species